ensembl:lncRNA
UGGAGGCUCCACCUUGAUGAUGGGAUAGUGCUGUCUCAGUAGUGGGAGUAGAUAAACCCCACAAGAGCAGGUGGUCAUAAAAGAGCAAGCCUGGUCCUCUCCAGUCUUUUCCUGACCUUCUCCAUAUUCUGCUCCUGCCAUUGUGAUGUCACCCACUAUGAGGUACUCAUCAGACCUGAGCAGAUACUAGAACAUUUCUCCUGUACCUUCAGAGCUGCCCAGGCUUGGGUAUUUUGCUAUAGCAAAAUGGAGAAAAUGGAUGGAACUGGAGAUUAUCUUAUUUAAUGAAAUAAGACAGAUUCAGAAAGUUUCUUUUUCCAGAACCCAAUCUCAUAAUCUUAACACCAAAGAAAGCCUGGAAAUAAAGUCUUCUGAUAUGAUCAGGAAUAGGAAAUAGGAUUUUUGAGCAUCUAGCAAGCUUUAGAGUAAAAUGCACCUAGAACCACAGACUACCCUAAUUUUGACAAGUGGUAAUCAUCUAAUAGAUAUGCA